UGAAGACGACCUCGCCUGAACCAAAGAGUAUGGAUUCCUGCAGUCACGAAAGCUUCAAAUCAAGAUUGAACCACCUCUACGGGGAGGGUUUUCACACAUCUGUUACAGCUUUUAACAGACUACGAGACAAGAAGGCUCACAUGAUCGAGUCUCUCACCUAUCUGAAGAGAUGCUGCGACAGCAAGCCGACCUCUCCAGUGCUGCCGCGGUGGUCCACUUUACUCCAGUGACCCGGGUGCUGCUGCGGGGUCCACUUUCUGCCCCGCCUCCCCCCCCCCCCUUCUCUCUCCCCCCCUACUGCCGAGGCCUAUAUAACCUCCUGCCACGGCAGAUCUUUCGCCUACUUCAGCAGUUUUUUUCUUGCUGUGGUUGUCCCACCUGAUGACGAUUGCUUGUGUUGGGAUCGAAACGUCGUGAUAUAUUAUUUUUCUACCUACGUGAUUUUACUGAAAGAACCAAAGAGUUUGGCUUUUUUUUUACGUUUUCUGGUUUGGCAGAAAUGUAAUUCCUAUGUUCCAUUAACAGUUAUGUCGGUUAACAGUAGUUUUCGUGGAAUGGAUUAAAAACGUUAAUCGAGGAACAACUGUAUUUGUUAUACUUAAAGCAAGGUUGAUUGAUUGUUGACUUAUUGGCGAAUUCUAAUUUCAUACACAAUAAAAUUUGAAACUAAAGUAGUCAUUAAAUACAUAUAUUCGUUGUAAAUAUGUACAUUGAACUUACUCUGCGCACUAUACGUAGCCGAUCGUGCUAUUCGGAGGUGCGUUGUGGCUAUUUUGGCAUGGGUUUCGGGCAAUACAACACUUGUGACCUCGGUUCCAUCUGCAGAGAGAUUGAGCACUGUGGUGUGUGGUGGGUUGAUAUGGUGGUGUCUGUUCAUUAUCGAAGUUACAGGAUGUUUUAUUUUAAGCGUUGUGUAAUUUAUAGUUUUUCGAUGCUUUAAGUAAAAAAAACUGCAUUGGGAACCUCAUGGCCGCAUUUAUUGAAUUUAAUUUGCGAGUGUUAACACCUUGUCGUUUUGGUAAACUGGAUGAAAAUCAAUAAAUUUUAAAUGGAAGGUGAUUAAAACUUUUAAAAGGUAAAAAUAAGCCAUAUUUAGAUUAGUUGGUUCAAUUUAAUGUUUUUCUAUUUGGUAGUGCUAUUAAAUUAUAGUGCACAACAUCACCACCCUGUAGCCUCUGAUUUAGCUUUGAGCUCGAUGUGUUUUCGUGUGAGCAGAGAUUUCCAAGUGUUUGGCGUGA